rnacentral:lncRNA from 1 species
CCGAUGUGAGCAUCUGCUAGGGCAGAGAAUACAGUGACUAGGUAGUUACCUACCGGUACGUAUUAGAUACAUCGCUCAUAUAGGUAUCUACCUACAUAACAUAGGUACCUCCUCGUACGUAGCAACAUCUCUCAACCUGAAGUCUUGACAAAGCCAGCUUCCUCGGCAAAACCAACAACGCAUUCGCAGCACAGCCUACCCAUCUACCUACCCUGAACUUGCACUAACGCAUCAACCUAGUCUCGGGAUCGACAAUCUUCUUCACAUCUAGCCGCCACCAGUCAAAAACAGGCCUCCCGCAUAGAUACUAUACAUGUCCUUUCUUGUUCGGGGCCGGCUCGGUCCGCCUAAUCUGCAUGCAGUAGAAAACAUGCGCAGAUUUGAAAACAUGGAUUGCCUGUGAGUGGCCAUGAACUCAUAUAACAUUCUUCGUACAAUAGAUCUGCAACUGCAGGGUAUGACCAGUACGGACAAGCAUGUGCCUAAAUUGUCGAAUCGGGUGGAAAGCAUGCCAUGCCGGAGGCCUAGUUUAUAGACGUGUUCGUGUUGUUGAUAUCAGGUCUCGUAACUCCGUAACCAACAGGGAGCAUUGCGGAGAUGUGACUUAUGCAAGAGUCAAAAUCGAGUAUGUCCUUUCCAUAGCCUAGUUUGAAUUCGAGCCUGCCUGAGCUGUGUUCCAAACAAAUGAGCAGUUAUUUCGGUACUGGAGCAUAAACUAGUCCAAACACGAGCUCGCAAAGAUCUUGGGCUGCAUGCCAGAACGUGGUGGCUCUAUUUUCCAGUCCAGUAGAACGUCCUCUAACUCGCUGGCGGCCAAUGUGGCUUAUAUUUGCUUUUCCGGGGAACUCUGCCUGUGAAGAAACUCGGUACGUAGCCCAGUGGUGUCAAUUUAUCAAGCAUGCAUUCAAUUUCCGCCUGCAGCCAUCCAUUUUCGAUCUGACGUCCGGUGCACGGCCCAGUUUACCUGGCAACCUUAUCAUGACGUUCUUUGUUCCGUGUCAUCAUGUCUCUCCACCAGUUCCUCCUUUGCAGCAUUGUCUGAAUAUGUCAAGAGCUUGUAACAC